GGGCAAGUGGUGGAAUGGCAUACACGAAGGACUUAAAAUCCUUUGGCCGUAAGGCCGUGAGGGUUCAACUCCCUCCUUGCCCA
rnacentral:tRNA from 1 species